UUCCAUGCAUGGGGUCAAGCUGUGUGGCAAGAAGCAGUCCUCGGCCAGCUCCGGGUAGGGGGAGGCUGUCCCAGGAUUUAGAGGGACAAAGGAAGUCCCUGCCUCGGCAGCCUGUCCCAGGAGACCCCAAGACACGCAGAGACCACACGCUUGCUCACCAUUCCCAAACAGCCCUCUGGAGACUUGAACUCUAAGUGCAGCUAAAAAGAAAGAAAACGCUGGAUGUCAUGCAAGAGAACAUCCGUUCUUGCCGCUCUGCCAGCAGCGCCCCACACCCGACCUGGCCCCUGCCAGGCUGCGACCCCCACAGCGACCUGGGCCUCUAGGCUGGACCCAGGCAGACCCCCCAGCGCCCACCCUGCGUCGGUGUCAGGCUCUGGCCACGGAUCCCGCUGUCUUCCUGGAACUGCUCCGCACUUUCCAAUCAACAGGCACCGAGUUUCACGGCCUUCAUCUCGACACUCAGGUGGAACUGAACCCAGCGCCGCUCGAGGCAGGAAAAGCUGUGGCCAGCAGCAUGCGAUGAGUGUGAGGGGAGUGUCUGCCUUGGAAUGA
rnacentral:lncRNA from 1 species